UGUGGUUGCAUUAAAAAUUGAAAUCUCAGGCAAAAGCGUCGACGGAAGCAAGGCUUACUGUUUGGUGUCUUUAAACUUAAACUAGAUCAAGAGUUUAGAUUCUACCUCAGUUGACAUAUUUCGAAAUAAAACCUACAAUGUCCGGCAGAGAAGGUGGUAAAAAGAAGCCUUUAAAGCAGCCCAAGAAAGGCAAAGAUGAGAUGGAUGAGGAAGAUAUGGCCUUCAAACAAAAACAAAAGGAAGAACAGAAAGCUUUGAAAGAAGCUGCUGCCAAAGCUGCAGGAAAAGGACCUUUAACAUCUGGUGGUAUAAAGAAAUCUGGAAAAAAAUGACCCAUCGCUAAUGUCUGAGUUGUCAUCAUUUUCUCCUUGUUCAUACUGUCAUUUUUAAGUUCAGAGCACCAUUGGAUUUGAUAUAUUUAAGGUUGUUUCAAUAUGCAUAAAUAAAUGAAAUUUACACA